UGAGCGGAGGCCCCCCGGAGAAGGAGCAUCCUGCGGGAGAGGGGAGCGGGGGCCCUUCGGCCCUCCCGGGGAGAGGAGCGGCCUCCUCGUCCCCAGCUGCCGGGAGGGAGGCCGGCCGGCCGCCGGGCAGCCCUGGCUGGCGGGGAACCUCCUCGUACCAAUUUUGGUAAUAGCGCGCUACGUGACUGGAGGCUGAGUCAGCCCAGAGGAAUGAGUGGGGACGCUUUGUUCUCCCAGCCGUGCUGUAAUAUGAACGUGCCCAAUGGACCAAGCCAGCUCUUGGCAGAGAGGGAGCCGGAGGUUAACGAGUGACAUAAUUGUGUAUCUAGCAGUACCACACAGCCAGCCUCUGCUCACUCAUUCGGACCUUGGAUCGCCACUCAUGGAAGCUCCUUUCACCAUCACACCUUUCCUUCAGGUCUGCCUUUCCCAACCAAGGAACCGGCUGGCCAUUGCAUCUAACUGGGGCCGGCAACCAGGGGGAUGAAGCUCAAGGAUGACAGUGGCGUCCAUGGACCUUGAGUUGCCUUGGGGUAGUGCCAUUCCAGAGUAUCUCUGAGCCCGCCCUUGUUCAUGCAGCUCUCUCUGGGCUAGGUGGUCUCUUACUGGGAGAUGGAUCAAGACUGAUCGAGACUCAGGGGUCUGGAGCUGGAAGGGAAGCUGGGAUUCCCCGAUCAUAGUGGACCAAUGAAAGGCCCAUAUGUCGCACUUCUGAAUUUCAGCAAGGAUCAGCUGGAGGAACAAAGGAUGGUUAGUUCUGAGAAAAGAACCUGCUGGUGGCGGGAUCACUGAUUUCGUGUACAUGAAGAGCUAUCAUGUGUGAGGGAUGCCCCGAGAACCCCUGGACAGAAUUCCAGGUAGAAGCUUGGGUAGUCAGUCACUCAAUAAAUAACCAUUAAGCGCC